CCCGAACCGCCAUUUUGAAAAUCUUGUUGAUUCGGGGGAGCCGAGAGCGCGGCGCGAGCGUCACGCCAGAGAGCGGCCCGCGCGCCUCCUCCUCGGCGCUCGCCGCCGCCUCCCGGAGCCUCUUCGUGCCUUCGCGCGCCAGGCCCGCGGCGGCCGGCACCGGCGGUCGACAGCAUGUCCUCCUCGGGCCCAGCUGCAGAGGGAGAGGGAACCCCCGCCCAGCCCGCGUCCGAGAAAGAGCCCGAAAUGCCCGGCCCGAGAGAGGAAAGUGAAGAGGAGGACGAGGACGACGAGGAGGAGGAAGAGGAGGAGGAGGAAGAAAAAGAAAAGAGUCUGAUCGUGGAAGGCAAGAGGGAAAAGAAAAAAGUGGAGAGAUUGACCAUGCAAGUCUCUUCCUUACAGAGAGAGCCAUUUACAAUUGCACAAGGAAAAGGACAGAAACUUUGUGAAAUUGAAAGGAUACAUUUCUUCCUGAGUAAAAAGAAAACGGAUGAACUUAGAAAUCUACAUAAACUACUUUACAACAGGCCUGGCACAGUGUCCUCAUUAAAGAAGAAUGUGGGUCAGUUCAGUGGCUUUCCAUUUGAAAAAGGAAGUGUCCAAUAUAAAAAGAAGGAAGAAAUGUUGAAAAAGUUUAGAAAUGCCAUGUUAAAGAGCAUCUGCGAGGUUCUUGAUUUGGAGAGAUCAGGUGUAAAUAGCGAACUGGUGAAGAGGAUCUUGAAUUUUUUAAUGCAUCCAAAGCCUUCUGGCAAACCAUUGCCAAAAUCUAAGAAAACUUCUAGCAAAGGCAACAAAAAGGAACGGAACAGUUCUGGAAUGGCAAGGAAAGCUAAGCGAACCAAAUGUCCUGAAAUUCUGUCAGAUGAAUCCAGCAGCGAUGAAGAUGAAAAGAAAAACAAGGAAGAGUCUUCAGAUGAAGAAGAUAAAGAAAGCGAAGAAGAGCCACCAAAAAAGACCUCUAAAAGAGAAAAACCUAAACAGAAAGCCACUUCCAAAAGUAAGAAAACUGUAAAAAGCGCUAAUGUUAAGAAGGCAGAUAGCAGCACCACCAAGAAGAAUCAAAACAGUUCCAAAAAAGAAAGUGAAUCUGAGGACAGUUCAGAUGAUGAACCUUUAAUUAAAAAAUUGAAGAAACCUCCUACAGAUGAAGAGUUAAAGGAAACAGUGAAGAAAUUACUGGCCAGUGCCAACUUGGAGGAAGUCACAAUGAAGCAGAUUUGCAAGGAGGUCUCUAUGCUAAAGACAUAGUCACAUCUGCACAAAAUGAUUACAAUAAUGUUCAGCAUGUCUGUAAUAUUGAAAAAUCAGAAACAACCUAAAUGGCCAUCGAUAGGGAAAUGUUUAACAUGGUACGUCUGUAUUUUUGGAAUGCUAUGUAGCAGUUCAAAAGAACACGGAAAAACGUUCCAGGUAUAUGAAAAUUAUCCUGCUUAUGAUUUAACUGAAAGAAAAGAUUUCAUAAAAACAACUGUUAAAGAGCUGAUUUCUUGAGGCAGAGGAGAUAACUUGUCCCGUGGACGUCAGGAUCUGAUUUAUACCGUUAUACCAGCAAAGAGAAUGUAUUUCCUUUUCUACCCCUUGCAAGCGUUGUGUUAGUAGAACCUGUCGCUGAUCUUUUUAAGUAAAUUUGAGUUUGUUGUUUUAAAUUGCAUUUCUAUGCAGUUUUUAGUUUAAAAUUUUGCAUGGCAUUAAUUGUUCCUUGCUUUUAUAGCUGUAUUUUGUACAUUUUGGAUUUCUUUAUAUGAGAUCGUAGUUUUAGCGUGCUUAGUAUUCGCUUGUUUCAGACAUACUUUUAACGAAGUAGAAGAAACUACUAUUGACAUUUAUACAUGCAGAGACUAUGGCAGUAUUUAGUAGAUGAAAUAUUUUGAAUACACAUCUGACAGUGGCAGUGUGUUCAUCAUAUUAAAAAUAUACAGGCUUCAGCUUUCCAGAUGAUUAAAUUGGAAAAUUUCUGCUGCAUGUGUAUAUAUGUCAAAUCGUCAGCAUGACAAAAGUGACAGAUGUUAUUUUUGUAUUUUUAAAAACAACUUUGUUGUAUAUAAAGUUUUUUUAUUUCUUUUGUGCAGAUCAAUUUUUAAACUCCUGUAGGUAGGUAUCUUUACAGUUAUAAACUAUGAAAUGUCAGUGUUUGGCCAGAUGGUAUGUGACGGAGCAGCGAAAUCAGAAUUCAGUGGAGAAAACACUGAAGGAACAGGUCGUUCUCUGCUUUGCCUCAGAAGUGUCAAUUUGUAGUUUUAGUGUUAACUCUGCAAGUGUCUGUAGAUAACAUUUUAUGUUAAGGGUAGACCAAAUCAGAACUUCAAAAUUGGGGGAAGGGGAUUAAGUACAAGCACAUUUGGCUUCUGAUGAACUGAUUUUUAUUAACUGCUUUUACCCAUGUAAAAUGCGGAUAUUUACAGGAAACCUGGCCACCUUUAUAAUUAUGGUAAAUGUACCAAGUAUAAUGCUAGAAGAUAACGUGUAGGCAACAGUGGGUAUCUCCGACAAAGUAUUUCUCAAAAGUGAUAAAAAGACUUAUUUUUAACAUUAAAGAAGUUUAAUGUAUUCGUGGAAUCAGGACUUUUAGGUUUUAAAUUUUGGCCAAUCAGGAUUCUGGGUGAUCAACACACAGACCACUCCUGAAUUAGAUUGUUUCAUCUUUUACAUUGUUGUAAUCAGUUAUUAAAUAAUUUCUGAAUUUUAAAAACAUAACUGCUUAUGAGAGAAUUAGACCUUUGAUAAACCAGUUGAGUGUUUAAACGGAGAACAUGAAAUACAUAAAAAUGAUAAAUGUUGGCCGUUAGCAGGUACUUUCACAGGUCUGACGUGUUUCUUGAUAAAUACAAAUGAAUAAACAACUAAAUGAGACCUAAAAAUUGGCCGUUGAUUUUAAAUAUUUAAUUUGUUCCUAUAAACCUUGUCAAUAAAACUAAUAAAUCCA